rnacentral:rRNA from 1 species
AGUGAACGCUGGCGGUAGGCCUAACACAUGCAAGUCGAACGGCAGCACAGUAAGAGCUUGCUCUUACGGGUGGCGAGUGGCGGACGGGUGAGGAAUACAUCGGAAUCUACUUUUUCGUGGGGGAUAACGUAGGGAAACUUACGCUAAUACCGCAUACGACCUACGGGUGAAAGCAGGGGAUCUUCGGACCUUGCGCGAUUGAAUGAGCCGAUGUCGGAUUAGCUAGUUGGCGGGGUAAAGGCCCACCAAGGCGACGAUCCGUAGCUGGUCUGAGAGGAUGAUCAGCCACACUCGAACUGAGACACGGUCCAGACUCCUACGGGAGGCAGCAGUGGGGAAUAUUGGACAAUGGGCGCAAGCCUGAUCCAGCCAUACCGCGUGGGUGAAGAAGGCCUUCGGGUUGUAAAGCCCUUUUGUUGGGAAAGAAAAGCAGCAGGUUAAUACCCCGCUGUUCUGACGGUACCCAAAGAAUAAGCACCGGCGAACUUCGU